UACACGCUGUGACUAGCAUAUCAAUAAGCGGAGGAAAAGAAACUAACAAGGAUUCCCCUAGUAACGGCGAGUGAAGCGGGAAGAGCUCAAAUUUGAAAUCUUAAAGGGUUUCCCUUUACGAAUUGUAGUUUAAAGAAGUGUUCUCUGUUGAGGUUUUGGUAAAAGUUCUUUGGAAUAGGACAUCAUAGAGGGUGAGAAUCCCGUAUUUGACCUUUACUUUCAACUUUGUGAUACACUUUCAAAGAGUCGGAUUGUUUGGGAAUGCAGUCCAAAGUGGGUGGUAAAUUUCAUCUAAAGCUAAAUAUUGGCGAGAGACCGAUAGCGAACAAGUACCUGUGAGGGAAAGAUGAAAAGAACUUUGAAAAGAGAGUUAAACAGUACGUGAAAUUGUCAAAAGGGAAGCGUUUGACACCAGUGUUGUUUUUCUGAAAAUCAAUUAAAGAACUGUUUAUGCUAAGCUUGUUUAGACUUUAUCAGCUAUCUGUUUAGUUUUGAGCUUUUCUUUAAUGCACUUUUCAGUUAACAAGUCAACAUCAAUUUCUUUUGCUGUAAAAAAGCUUGAGGAAGGUGGCUUGAGAUUCGUCUUAAGUGUUUAUAGCCUCUUGCCUAUGCAGUCGGAGAGAUUGAGGUCUGCAGCGUAGAUCCUUCGGGGCUAAAUGCAUUUGUGCUAAGUUAUAGCAUUUUAUAGACAACUUGUUGACUAUGAUUUGUCUUGUAGCUUACUCGCUUAUGUUAUUUUACCUACGCUUAGGAUGUUGAUAUGCAUGACUGAUAU
rnacentral:rRNA from 1 species